rnacentral:rRNA from 1 species
CCUACGGGAGGCAGCAGUGGGGAAUCUUGCGCAAUGGGCGAAAGCCUGACGCAGCCAUGCCGCGUGAAUGAUGAAGGUCUUAGGAUUGUAAAAUUCUUUCACCGGGGACGAUAAUGACGGUACCCGGAGAAGAAGCCCCGGCUAACUUCGUGCCAGCAGCCGCGGUAAUACGAAGGGGGCUAGCGUUGCUCGGAAUUACUGGGCGUAAGGGAGCGUAGGCGGAUAGUUUAGUCAGAGGUGAAAGCCCAGGGCUCAACCUUGGAAUUGCCUUUGAUACUGGCUAUCUUGAGUGUGGGAGAGGUAUGUGGAACUCCGAGUGUAGAGGUGAAAUUCGUAGAUAUUCGGAAGAACACCAGUGGCGAAGGCGACAUACUGGCCCAUUACUGACGCUGAGGCUCGAAAGCGUGGGGAGCAAACAGGAUUAGAUACCCUGGUAGUCCACGCUGUAAACGAUGAGUGCUAGUUGUCGGCAUGCAUGCAUGUCGGUGACGCAGCUAACGCAUUAAGCACUCCGCCUGGGGAGUACGGUCGCAAGAUUAAAACUCAAAUGAAAUUGACCGG